CCCUUAGAUGUUCUGGGCCGCACGCGCGCUACACUGACUGGUGCAACAAGUGUCUGACCUUGGCUCGAGAGGCCUGGGCAACCUUUGAACGCCAGUCGUGCUGGGGAUAGAUUCUUGCAAUUAUUAAUCUUCAACGAGGAAUUCCUAGUAAACGCAAGUCAUCAGCUUGCAUUGAUUACGUCCCUGCCCUUUGUACACACCGCCCGUCGCACCUACCGAUUGAAUGGUCCGGUGAAAUCUCCGGACUGGCGUGAGUCGGAGCAAUCUGACAAACACCGGAAAGUUGAUUAAACCUUACCAUUUAGAGGAAGGUGAAGUCGUANCA
rnacentral:rRNA from 1 species